GUGAGGAAUAUUGGUCAAUGGGCGCAAGCCUGAACCAGCCAUGCCGCGUGCAGGAAGACGGCCCUCCGGGUUGUAAACUGCUUUUGUACGGGAAUAAACCUCGCUACGUGUAGCGAGCUGAAUGUACCGUAAGAAUAAGGAUCGGCUAACUCCGUGCCAGCAGCCGCGGUAAUACGGAGGAUCCAAGCGUUAUCCGGAUUUAUUGGGUUUAAAGGGUGCGUAGGCGGCCUGUUAAGUCAGGGGUGAAAGACGGUGGCUCAACCAUCGCAGUGCCCUUGAUACUGAUGGGCUUGAAUAGACUAGAGGUAGGCGGAAUGUGACAAGUAGCGGUGAAAUGCAUAGAUAUGUCACAGAACACCGAUUGCGAAGGCAGCUUACUAUGGUCUGAUUGACGCUGAGGCACGAAAGCGUGGGGAUCGAACAGGAUUAGAAACCCUGGUAGUCC
rnacentral:rRNA from 1 species